UGAGGAAUAUUGGUCAAUGGGCGAGAGCCUGAACCAGCCAAGUCGCGUGAGGGAUGACGGUCCUACGGAUUGUAAACCUCUUUUGUCGGGGAGCAAGAGCUCUACGUGUAGAGUAGUGAGAGUACCCGAAGAAAAAGCAUCGGCUAACUCCGUGCCAGCAGCCGCGGUAAUACGGAGGAUGCGAGCGUUAUCCGGAUUUAUUGGGUUUAAAGGGUGCGUAGGCGGAAGAUUAAGUCAGUGGUCAAAUCGUGAGGCUCAACCUCAUCCAGCCAUUGAAACUGGUUUUCUUGAGUGGAAGAGAAGUAUGCGGAAUGCGUGGUGUAGCGGUGAAAUGCAUAGAUAUCACGCAGAACUCCGAUUGCGAAGGCAGCAUACCGGCUUCCAACUGACGCUGAAGCACGAAAGCGUGGGUAUCGAACAGG
rnacentral:rRNA from 2 species